rnacentral:sRNA from 12 species
UUGCGCCUGCGGCGGACCCGGCACGGGCAAACAGACGACUUCGCAGGCAGUCUGCCCGUGUACGGUCUGGUACUUCCCGAAAUUAUUCGGGCUUUAACGCUUUCU